CAUAUAAACUAUGCACAUCCUCUGCUAUAUUUUUAAAUCGCCUCUAAAUUACUUAUAAUACCUAAUACAAUGUAAAUGCUAUGUAAAUAGUUGCUACACUGUAUUAUUUAGGGAAUCAUGAUAAGAAAGACAGUCUGUACAUGUUCACUACAGGCACAAGUAGACCCAGCAA